rnacentral:lncRNA from 1 species
AAACAGGGUAUGCAGAAUAGCUAAGUAGAGCAACAAGGAAACAUGGUAUCACAUACAGAUAGAUUAUACUCCUACACAUGAUACUAAGCAUGGAAACGUCUGAGUAGAGUAUAAUCAAACAACGUGGGUGUAAUGUAAACGAUAGAGGUGCAAAGCUCAACAUAUAAUAUAAGCAUGGAUAAUAACAAAAGAGCAAGGGUAAGAAACCAUCACCGAGCGUGCACCACUGUACCAACGUCGGAUCGAAGUACCCACCUGUACAAUUGUCGCGCCUGUCUCCUGACUGCAAAAGAAUGUCAACAGGACCUAUGGAGGGUCCACUGGGUUAGUGUCUAACCCACAACUAAGAAACCCUAAAAGCGUAACCCCACAAAUAAACCCACGAGAAUCGAUUUUCCAAAACCAAUUACCGAACAAACCGAAAGUCCCGAAAACCGCACCGGAACUUCACCGUCACUCACCCGUCGUUUCCAAACCCACGAAACGAUGCGGGUGACCAGCCAACAAGGCUCAGUGAUGAAACAAAAGAUCCCCAAGUACCGUCGGAAGAAUUCCGAAUCGAAAACGCGUUCUAUCGGCGGAUUUCGCCGAAAAACGCUCCGGAAAUG